UACGAAGGGGGCUAGCGUUGCUCGGAAUCACUGGGCGUAAAGGGUGCGUAGGCGGGUCUUUAAGUCAGGGGUGAAAUCCUGGAGCUCAAAUCCAGAACUGCCUUUGAUACUGAAGAUCUUGAGUUCGGGAGAGGUGAGUGGAAUUCCCAGUGUAGAGGUGAAAUUCGUAGAUAUUGGGAAGAACACCGGUGGCGAAGGCAAUCCCCUGGGCCUGUACUGACGCUCAUGCACGAAAGCGUGGGGAGCAAACAGG
rnacentral:rRNA from 1 species